GACGAACGCUGGCGGCGUGCUUAACACUUGCAAGUCGAACGGAAAGGCCCUGCUUUUGUGGGGUGCUCGAGUGGCGAACGGGCGAGUAACACGUGAGUAACCUGCCCUUGACUUUGGGAUAACUUCAGGAAACUGGGGCUAAUACCGGAUAGGAGCUCCUGCUGCAUGGUGGGGGUUGGAAAGUUUCGGCGGUUGGGGAUGGACUCGCGGCUUAUCAGCUUGUUGGUGGGGUAGUGGCUUACCAAGGCUUUGACGGGUAGCCGGCCUGAGAGGGUGACCGGCCACAUUGGGACUGAGAUACGGCCCAGACUCCUACGGGAGGCAGCAGUGGGGAAUAUUGCACAAUGGGCGGAAGCCUGAUGCAGCAACGCCGCGUGCGGGAUGACGGCCUUCGGGUUGUAAACCGCUUUCGCCUGUGACGAAGCGUGAGUGACGGUAAUGGGUAAAGAAGCACCGGCUAACUACGUG
rnacentral:rRNA from 1 species